CAUUGCUUUAAAGAACUACAUCUGAAGAGCAAUGUUUAGCUCUUUAUUUAUUAUUGUAUUUUAUUUAUCUAAAGACCAAUAUGUUGCUUCCUACUGAUAACGUCAGAUGAAUAUCAUCAUGAAGUUAAAUGAGCUUCUUCAACAGUGAGCCCUGUGGAAUAGACGCACCUUUCCUUCAAGUGUGACCAUUUGAGACGGAACAGACCAGAGGAUUUUCCAUCCCAUUACUAGAAUAUGUUUCUGUGACAAAGUUCUAGCAAGUUUUAGUCCAUAAUCCAUUUCAAGGGAAAUUCUCAUUUCUGUUUUUUUUUCAGUUAUGUCUUUUAACUUAUGUUUUCUGGAUCUUAUUCCAUUUGAGUGAAAUAUGAAUAGAUGAAGAGAUGUGGUAUCAGAGCUCAUUAAACAAAACUUUUCUGGUAACAUGCUUCAUCCUAUCUAGUUAUUUGAAUUAAGUUAAGCUUAAAGGAAAAGAACAAAACAAAGCUAUAAAGAAAAUUGGAAGUUAUUCAUUGUCAUUCGUCAUGAACAAGCUCAGAGGCUGGGAUAUUUGGCAUGAUGACAAUGAAACUGCAGGAAAUUGAGCACACUCCAAUGUUGGUGAGGACGGUCCAUCCAUUCUGCAUAUGUCUGCAUCUUUGGGACUUAGAGUCUGGCAAGUGGAAGAGGGAUUUCAUCUUGUUGGAAAAUAUAAGUUGGAAAAUCAACCUACAUGAAAUUGCAGAAGCCAAGGGGGUCUCACUCUCUCAUCCAGGCUGGAGCAUGGGGGUACAAUCAUAGCUCACCACAACCUUGAACUCCUGGGCUCAAAGGAUCCUUCCAGUUCAUCCUCUUGAGUAGCUCGGAUUACAGGCAUACACCACCGCGCCUGGCUAAGUUCUCAAUCUUGAAAGAUUGAAUUAGUUCUCAUGGGAGUGAAUUAGUUCCUGUGGUACUGGGUUGUUAUAAAGCCAGGAUGCCCUUAGGUUUUCUUCUCUUCUCACAUGUCUACUUUCCCAUUGCCCUUCUCGGCCACGUUGUGAUGUGGCAUGAAAGUCCUGUCCAGAAGCCAGGACCAUGCCCUCGAACUUCUCAGUCUGUGGAACAAUGAGCUAAAUAAACUUCCUUUAAAAUAAAUUUUUAGGUAUUCUGCUUUAAGCAACACAAAAGGUACUAAUACAGCAUUGUUUUAAAUUUGUACAAAUUUCUUUAUUGUGUGGCUUAAUAGAAAGCUAGAUGCUUAGGUUUGCUUCUCUAAACAUUCUGUUAUAAUCUUACACAUUAAACUCUGGAAAACUCUGUUGUACACUUGUGAGAGAAUGAGAGUGAAAUAGAGAAAUUAGCAUCUUGGUUUAUUAUAAAAAUAGUUUGGAUCUUUUGAAACCUUUAAAGACUCUUAGGAAACCCUGUGGUUCUCUGGCCAUGCUUUGAGAACGACUGCUAUAGGAUAAAUCCACUGCCAAGUUAAUCUUUUGUUAUGCUAUAUGUUUUAGCUUGUUUUCAUUUACUACUCUCUGAAGUUGAGCUUCAGCAAUUCAACAUACUGAUUAUGAUUUUCGCUUUUUUUUUUUUUUUUUUUUUUGGGACAAAGUUUUGCUCUUGUUGCCCAGGCUGGAGUGCAGUGGUGUGAUCUCGGCUCACUGCCAAUCUCCGCCUCCCGGAUUCAAGUGAUUCUCCUGCCUCAGCCUCCUGAGUAGCUGGGAUUACAGGCACAUGCCACCACGCCUGGCUAAUUUUUGUAUUUUUGGUAGAGACAGGGUAUCACCAUGUUGGCCAGAUGGUAUCGAACUCCUUACUUCAGGUGACCUGCCCACCUCGACCUCCCAAAGUGCUGGGAUUACAGAUGUGAGCCACCGCGCCUGGUUGAUUAUGAUUUUCAAAUACUAGGUGACUCCUUCUUAGCAUUGGUAUAUUUUAUGUAUAUUAAAUGUCCAUGAAUUUAAAAAAAUUUAAAUGAAAGCACGUGACAGUUUCAAGUACUCCAACACUUGAGAAGCUACAAUAUGGUGUACAGUGCACACAAGGUGAUUUGAGCAUCAGAUAAAUUGAGACAGACAGAUAGAAAGUGUUAGGUGUAUAUGUAACUAUAGGCAUCUAUGUUUGGCUUAAUAAAAACACAAUGUUUCUUA